UACUUGUCCUUACAUAUAGUGGCAAAUAAAUCAGAAGUUUUAACACAUUUUAAAAACUACAAGAAAUUCUGGGAUUACAAUACAAUAUACUCAUGCUUACACACCAGAACAGAAUGGAAAAUCUGACAGGAUGAACAGAACUCUAAUUGAAAAAUCAAGAUCUAUGAUAUCAAAAAGUGGUGUUCCAAAAUAUUUGAGAUCUGAAGCAAUAUACUGUGCUAAUUAUGUCACAAACAGAAGUCCAACCAGCUCUCUUUCAUCCAACAAAACUCCUGCUGAAGUCUGGUCCGGAAAUAAGCCUUACUUGUCCAACUUGAGAGUGUUUGGCUGUGCUGCAUAUUCCCAUAUUCCAAAAGCUCAACGAACGAAACUGGAUAUGAAAUCGAGGAAACUACUUAUGAUUGGUUAUAGUGGAAAUGGUUACCGUUUAUGGCAUACAGCUGGAAGGAAGCUAGUUCUGUCGAGAGAUGUUUACUAAUCCGCUGCCUGUAAGAAAGGAUGUAUCUAUAGUACUAGAGAAGUCGUAUAAGGAAAAUGAAAAUAGCCUGAAACAAAGUCUUGGGACUGAAGAAGAAAACAGUGAGGAUGAAAUAUUCGAAGAAACAGUUAAUAUCCCGGAAGAACAAAAUAUGUGGGAAAAUGGUGAUAUAGAUACAGUUGUGCUUACUGAAAGCACCAACCAACCAACUGUAGAACUGCGUAGAGGUACAAUAACAAUAAAUCCUCACUAGACGAUUUCAUUAUAUGGCUUUGGCUUUAAGCGCAGAACAAUUUGUAUCAGAAGUUCUCACUAGAUACGAAGAUGUUGAAAACUGUGUUGAUGCUGAUGAGUGGUAUGCUGCCAUUAAUUCAGAAUUAAAUUCUUUGACCAAGAAUAACACAUGGGAAUAAGUUUAACGUCCAAAGGCAAAAAGUGUCACAAGUUCCAAAUGGGUAUUUCGGCGAAAGUUGGAGGCAAACGGGAAUCCAGCAGUCGCGAAUAAAAUGCAAUAUAUCAUACAUCAAAUGGAUGUCAAGACCGCGUUGAAUGGAUAUCUACGAGAGGAUAUAUACAUGGAUCCACCAAAAGUUCUUGAAUGUGAAUCAAAUGUUGUGUGUAAACUUAACCGUUCCCUGUAUGGAUUUCGGCGAAAGUUGGAUGCAAACGGGAAUCCAGGUGAAUACAAAGCACGAGUUGGUGCUAGAGGAUUUACUCAGUGUCAAGGUUUUGACUACAAUGAGACCUAUUCUCCCGUGACUAGAAUUGGUACUUUGCGUAUUUUAUUAGCAGUCGCAAAUAAAAUGAAAUAUAUCAUACAUCAAAUGGAUGUCAAGACUGCGUUUUUGAAUGGAUAUCUACGAGAGGAUAUAUACAUGGAUCCACCAAAAGGUAUUGAAUGUGAAUCAAAUGUUGUGUGUAAACUUAACCGUUCCCUGUAUGGACAAAAGCAAUCACCUAGAAUGUGGAAUGAAAGAUUUAAUUCCUUUAUAUUAUCAUUGAAUUUUACAAGAUCGAAAAAUGACUAUUGCUUAUAUAUUCGCACAGACAAUGGCAAUAUAAUAUAUUUACUGCUUUAUGUAGACGAUCUUCUUAUUGUUGGCAACAACAUGAAAGCAAUCCAAGAUUUAAAAU